AAACAGUUAAAUAAUAAUUUAACCUUCACAAUAUCUUUAACAUAGCAGCGGAAUAUUUAAUUCAAAAAUCAUAAAUCAGUUUGGCACGUAGGCCCCAUCAAAAUAGUUCAUAUUCCAUAACAUAAUAAAAAUAACAUAUUAUCCACGUAAGAGAAUGAAGCAUGUUAUAGCAUAUAACCCCAUCCCGUUACGUAUCAGAGCGACCUAG
rnacentral:lncRNA from 1 species